GCGUUCACUGCGCAGCCAUAUGUGUUCCUAUCCAUCAUAAGGCACGCGGUGAAUGCCA
rnacentral:pre_miRNA from 1 species